CUAACGACGAUAUGCUUUGGGGAGCUGUAAGUAAGCUUUGAUCCAGAGAUUUCCGAAUGGGGAAACCCAGCAUGAGUUAUGUCAUGUUAUCGAUAUGUGAAUACAUAGCAUAUCAGAAGGCACACCCGGAGAACUGAAACAUCUUAGUACCCGGAGGAAGAGAAAGAAAAUUCGAUUCCCUUAGUAGCGGCGAGCGAAACGGGAAGAGCCCAAACCAACAAGCUUGCUUGUUGGGGUUGUAGGACACUCUAUACGGAGUUACAAAGGACGACAUUAGACGAAUCAUCUGGAAAGAUGAAUCAAAGAAGGUAAUAAUCCUGUAGUCGAAAAUGUUGUCUCUCUUGAGUGGAUCCUGAGUACGACGGAGCACGUGAAAUUCCGUCGGAAUCUGGGAGGACCAUCUCCUAAGGCUAAAUACUCUCUAGUGACCGAUAGUGAACCAGUACCGUGAGGGAAAGGUGAAAAGCACCCCGGAAGGGGAGUGAAAUAGAACCUGAAACCGUGUGCUUACAAGUAGUCAGAGCCCGUUAAUGGGUGAUGGCGUGCCUUUUGUAGAAUGAACCGGCGAGUUACGAUUUGAUGCAAGGUUAAGCAGUAAAUGUGGAGCCGUAGCGAAAGCGAGUCUGAAUAGGGCGUUUAGUAUUUGGUCGUAGACCCGAAACCAGGUGAUCUACCCUUGGUCAGGUUGAAGUUCAGGUAACACUGAAUGGAGGACCGAACCGACUUACGUUGAAAAGUGAGCGGAUGAACUGAGGGUAGCGGAGAAAUUCCAAUCGAACCUGGAGAUAGCUGGUUCUCUCCGAAAUAGCUUUAGGGCUAGCCUCAAGUGAUGAUUAUUGGAGGUAGAGCACUGUUUGGACGAGGGGCCCCUCUCGGGUUACCGAAUUCAGACAAACUCCGAAUGCCAAUUAAUUUAACUUGGGAGUCAGAACAUGGGUGAUAAGGUCCGUGUUCGAAAGGGAAACAGCCCAGACCACCAGCUAAGGUCCCAAAAUAUAUGUUAAGUGGAAAAGGAUGUGGCGUUGCCCAGACAACUAGGAUGUUGGCUUAGAAGCAGCCAUCAUUUAAAGAGUGCGUAAUAGCUCACUAGUCGAGUGACACUGCGCCGAAAAUGUACCGGGGCUAAACAUAUUACCGAAGCUGUGGAUUGUCCUUUGGACAAUGGUAGGAGAGCGUUCUAAGGGCGUUGAAGCAUGAUCGUAAGGACAUGUGGAGCGCUUAGAAGUGAGAAUGCCGGUGUGAGUAGCGAAAGACGGGUGAGAAUCCCGUCCACCGAUUGACUAAGGUUUCCAGAGGAAGGCUCGUCCGCUCUGGGUUAGUCGGGUCCUAAGCUGAGGCCGACAGGCGUAGGCGAUGGAUAACAGGUUGAUAUUCCUGUACCACCUAUAAUCGUUUUAAUCGAUGGGGGGACGCAGUAGGAUAGGCGAAGCGUGCGAUUGGAUUGCACGUCUAAGCAGUAAGGCUGAGUAUUAGGCAAAUCCGGUACUCGUUAAGGCUGAGCUGUGAUGGGGAGAAGACAUUGUGUCUUCGAGUCGUUGAUUUCACACUGCCGAGAAAAGCCUCUAGAUAGAAAAUAGGUGCCCGUACCGCAAACCGACACAGGUAGUCAAGAUGAGAAUUCUAAGGUGAGCGAGCGAACUCUCGUUAAGGAACUCGGCAAAAUGACCCCGUAACUUCGGGAGAAGGGGUGCUCUUUAGGGUUAACGCCCAGAAGAGCCGCAGUGAAUAGGCCCAAGCGACUGUUUAUCAAAAACACAGGUCUCUGCUAAACCGUAAGGUGAUGUAUAGGGGCUGACGCCUGCCCGGUGCUGGAAGGUUAAGAGGAGUGGUUAGCUUCUGCGAAGCUACGAAUCGAAGCCCCAGUAAACGGCGGCCGUAACUAUAACGGUCCUAAGGUAGCGAAAUUCCUUGUCGGGUAAGUUCCGACCCGCACGAAAGGCGUAACGAUUUGGGCACUGUCUCAACGAGAGACUCGGUGAAAUCAUAGUACCUGUGAAGAUGCAGGUUACCCGCGACAGGACGGAAAGACCCCGUGGAGCUUUACUGUAGCCUGAUAUUGAAAUUCGGCACAGCUUGUACAGGAUAGGUAGGAGCCUUUGAAACGUGAGCGCUAGCUUACGUGGAGGCGCUGGUGGGAUACUACCCUAGCUGUGUUGGCUUUCUAACCCGCACCACUUAUCGUGGUGGGAGACAGUGUCAGGCGGGCAGUUUGACUGGGGCGGUCGCCUCCUAAAAGGUAACGGAGGCGCUCAAAGGUUCCCUCAGAAUGGUUGGAAAUCAUUCAUAGAGUGUAAAGGCAUAAGGGAGCUUGACUGCGAGACCUACAAGUCGAGCAGGGUCGAAAGACGGACUUAGUGAUCCGGUGGUUCCGCAUGGAAGGGCCAUCGCUCAACGGAUAAAAGCUACCCCGGGGAUAACAGGCUUAUCUCCCCCAAGAGUUCACAUCGACGGGGAGGUUUGGCACCUCGAUGUCGGCUCAUCGCAUCCUGGGGCUGUAGUCGGUCCCAAGGGUUGGGCUGUUCGCCCAUUAAAGCGGUACGCGAGCUGGGUUCAGAACGUCGUGAGACAGUUCGGUCCCUAUCCGUCGUGGGCGUAGGAAAUUUGAGAGGAGCUGUCCUUAGUACGAGAGGACCGGGAUGGACAUACCUCUGGUGUACCAGUUGUCGUGCCAACGGCAUAGCUGGGUAGCUAUGUGUGGACGGGAUAAGUGCUGAAAGCAUCUAAGCAUGAAGCCCCCCUC
rnacentral:rRNA from 1 species